rnacentral:sRNA from 1 species
AUCUAAAUAAUACAAGAAAUACUUCGAAUAAUGUUCUUAAGUAAAUCAACAAUUUUUUCUGCUACAGUUCCGCUUCAGUAUAUUCUAAAGUAUUACAAUAUCUCUUACAUACAUAACACACAAAAAAACUCCCACAAGAGUUACGUAUUUAUUAAGUUAUAAACAGAAUGUUACCGAGAACUCCAACAACCACAAGAUUUGCCACGGCUACGAUCCUCACCGUCCAUUUCCCUGGAACCGCCACGUGUGAAGACGAGGACGUUUGAUCCGUUUGGUGAGGAGGUUUUCUAAAGUAGUAAGGGAAGUACGGCAAAAUAGCAUUCGGCGGUGGAGGGCCAUAGAAGCUGCUGCCACUACUGUCUCCGCCACCAUACGGUGGAGAAGGGUAGUUAGGUAUAUUCCCAACCGGAGGAGGGUAAUUUGGUAAAUUCCCAGCUGGAGUAGGGUAGUUAACGCCUGGAGGAGGAUAUGGUGGUGGUUGAGUCAUGGAAGGUGUGGAGGAGCCACCACCAAUAGGCGGCGUUGGAUAACACGGGUAGGGACAUGGUGUGUCGGAUAUGACUAAGUAGGGGAAGUAAACAAGAGAAAAGACGAAGAUUAAGGUCAAGAAGAGAAGGCCAUGAUCGUUUGUGUUCAUGUUUUCUUUUGUUUUGUUUUACAAGAACUUGGUGAAAGAAUGGUUCUUUUUUUUUAAUGGUAAACAAAGAACUUUGGAUAAGAGAAAGUAAAUUAAGAUAAGUUUUUUUUGGCAAAAGCUUAGUUGGAAGGUGUGGACUCUAGCUAGAAGACACUUGUCUUGUGAAUUAUUGGAACGAAUGGUUUGCU